ACUGUGUCCCUGUCCCCCGCAGGUGGCGUGGUGACAGUGUGACACAGGUGACACGCAGGUGACACACAGGUGACACACAGGUGACAAUGUGACACAGGUGACACACAGGUGACACAGGUGACACACAGGUGACAAUGUGACACAGGUGUCCCUGUCCCCCGCAGGUGGCGUGGUGACAGUGUGACACAGGUGACAAUGUGACACAGGUGACACACAGGUGACACACAGGUGACACAGGUGACACACAGGUACCUGACACAGGUGACACACAGGUGACACACAGGUGACACACAGGUGACACACAGGUGACAAUGUGACACAGGUGACAGUGUGACACUGUCCCUGUCCCCCGCAGGUGGCGUGGUGAUCUUCGCGGUGAACUCCCUGCUGUACCUGAACCAGAGCGUGCCCCCGUACGGGGUGGCCCUCAACAGCCUCACCUGCGGCACCACCGUCUUCCCGCUGCGUAAGGGCUGCUGCCUUCGGCCUCGCCACCGCCCUCCUCAGCCUCACCCUCACCCUCAUCAUCCUCAUCAUCCUCAUCUUUGUCAUCUUCAUCCUCAUCUUCAUCCUCAUCUUCAUCAUCCUCAUCUUCAUCAUCGUCAUCCUCAUCUUCAUCCUCAUCUUCAUCAUCCUCAUCUUCAUCAUCGUCAUCCUCAUCUUCAUCCUCAUCCUCAUCAUCCUCAUCACCCUCAUCAUCCUCAUCCUCAUCUUCAUCCUCAUCUUCAUCCUCAUCUUCAUCCUCAUCUUCAUCAUCCUCAUCUUCAUAUCUUCAUCCUCAUCUUCAUCCUCAUCUUCAUCCUCAUCUUCAUCAUCCUCAUCUUCAUCAUCCUCAUCCUCAUCUUCAUCAUCCUCAUCUUCAUCCUCAUCUUCAUCAUCCUCAUCUUCAUCUUCAUCCUCAUCUUCAUCAUCCUCAUCUUCAUCCUCAUCUUCAUCCUCAUCUUCUCAUCGUCAUCCUCAUCUUCGUCAUCUUCAUCUUCACCAUCUUCAUCAUCCUCAUCUUCAUCCUCAAAUUCAUCUUCAUCGUCAUCUUCAUCGUCAUCAUCGUCAUCAUCAUCAUCUUUAUCUUCAUUAUCAUCAUCGUCAUCAUCUUCAUCAUCCUCAUCUUCAUCAUCCUCAUCUUCAUCAUCCUCAUCGUCAUCAUCUUCAUCGUCAUCCUCAUCUUCAUCAUCCUCAUCGUCAUCAUCUUCAUUAUCAUCAUCUUCAUCCUCAAAUUCAUCUUCAUCGUCAUCUUCAUCUUCAUCAUCGUCAUCAUCUUCAUCAUCCUCAUCUUCAUCAUCAUCCUCAUUGUCAUCCUCAUCUUCAUCUUCAUCAUCAUCUUCAUCAUUCUCAUCAUCGUCAUCAUCUUCAUCUUCAUUAUCAUUAUCCUCAUCUUCAUCAUCAUCUUCAUCAUCUUCAUCUUCAUUAUCAUUAUCAUCAUCAUCUUCAUCAUCUUCAUCGUCAUCGUCAUUUUCAUUAUCAUCAUCCUCAUCGUCAUCAUCAUCGUCAUUUUCAUCUUCAUUAUCAUUUUCCUCAUCUUCAUCAUCUUUAUCAUCCUCAUCAUCAUCGUUUUCAUCUUCAUCAUCUUCAUCAUCUUCAUUAUCUUUAUCCUCAUCAUAAUCAUCUUCAUCAUCAUCAUCUUCAUCAUCAUCAUCAUCAUCAUCAUCAUCAUCCUCAAAUUCAUCUUCAUCAUCUUCAUCAUCAUUAUCAUCAUUGUCAUUAUCAUCAUCCUCAUCGUCAUCCUCAUCAUCAUCAUCUUCAUUAUCAUUAUCCUCAUCUUUAUCAUCUUCAUCUUCAUCUUCAUCAUCUUCAUUAUCAUCAUCGUCAUCUUCAUCGUCUUCAUCUUCAUCAUCUUCAUCGUCUUCAUUAUCAUUAUCCUCAUCUUCAUCUUCGUCUUCAUCAUCUUCAUCUUCAUUAUCAUCAUCGUCAUCUUCAUCAUCUUCGUCUUCUUCAUCUUCAUCCUCAUCUUCAUCAUUGUUUUCAUCUUCAUCAUCUUCAUUAUCUUCAUCCUCAUCAUAAUCAUCUUCAUCAUCAUCAUCCUCUUCAUCAUCAUCUUCAUCAUCCUCAUCUUCGUCCUCAAAUUCAUCUUCGUCAUCUUUGUCCUCAUCAUAAUCAUCCUCAUCUUUAUCCUCCUCAUCCUCAUCACUCUCAUCAUCCUCCUCCUCCUUCUCCUCAUCAUCAUCUUCAUCAUCCUCAUCUUCAUCAUCCUCAUCAUCUUCGUCCUUAUCGUCAUCUCCGUCAUUUUCAUCAUCCUUAUUGUCAUCUUCUUCAUCAUCUUCUUCCUCAUCUUCAUCUUCAUCAUCUUCAUCCUCAUCCUCCUCAUCAUCCUUAUCGUCAUCUUCAUCAUCAUUCUUAUCUUCAUCUUCAUCAUCUUCAUCCUCAUCCUCCUCCUCCUCCUUCUCAUCCUCGUCCUACUCAUCCUUCUCAUCCUCAUCUUCAUCAUCUUCAUCUUCCUCAUCAUCGUCAUCGUUCUUAUCGUCAUCUCCGUCAUCCUCAUCUUCAUCAUCCUUAUCAUCGUCAUCAUCUUCAUCAUCUUCAUCAUCAUCAUCCUCAUCAUCCUCAUCUUCAUCUUCAUCAUUGUCAUCCUCAUCAUUCUCAUCCUCGUCUUCAUCAUCCUCAUCUUCAUCAUCCUCAUCCUUGUUAUCCUCAUCUUCAUCCUUGUCAAUCUCCUUCUCAUCCUUGUUCUCUUCCUCAUCUUCAUCAUCCUCAUCUUCAUCUUCCUCAUUAUCCUUAUUAUCAUCAUCCUCAUCUUCAUCAUCCUCAUCUUCAUCAUCCUCAUUAUCCUUAUUAUCAUCAUCCUCAUCUUCAUCAUCCUCAUCUUCAGCCUCCCCCUCCCCAUCAUCAUCCUCCUCAUCAUCCUUAUCGUCACCUUCAUCGUCAUCCUCAUCUUCAUCAUCCUCAUCUUCAUCAUCAUCAUCCUUAUCAUCACCUUCAUCAUCAUCCUCAUCUUCAUCAUCCUCGUCGUCGUCAUCUUCAUCCUUGUCAUGACAUCUUCAUCGCUCUCAUCCUUGUUCUCUUCCUCAUCAUCCUCUUCAUCAUCAUCCUCAUCCUCAUCAUCAUCCUUGUUCUUGAUCUUCAUCCUCAUCAUCAUCAUCCUCAUCUUCAUCAUCAUCGUCAUCCUCAUCUUCAUUCUCCUCAUCAUCUUCCUUCAUUUUCAUCAUCUUCAUCUUCAGCCUCCUCCUCCCCAUCAUCAUCCCCAUUCUCCUCAUCUUCAUCAUCCUCCUCAUCAUCCUUAUCAUCAUCUUCAUCAUCAUCCUCAUCUUCAUCUUCAUCAUCUUCCUCAUCUUCAUCAUCCUCAUCCUUGUCAUGGCAUCUUCAUCCUUCUCAUCCUUGUUCUCUUCCUCAUCUUCAUCAUCCUCAUCUUCAGCCUCCUCCUCCCCAUCAUCAUCCCCAUUCUCCUCAUCUUCAUCAUCCUCAUCAUCCUUAUCGUCACCUUCAUCAUCAUCUUCAUCAUCAUCAUCCUUCAUCUUCAUCAUCUUCAUCGUUGUCAUCAUCAUCCUCAUCUUCAUCAUCAUCAUCGUCUUUAUCGUCACCUUCAUCAUCCUGAUCUUCGUCUUCAUCAUCGUCCUUCAUCUUCAUUAUCUUCAUCGUUAUCAUCAUCAUUCUCAUCUUCAUCCUUCUCCUCCUCAUCAUUCUCCACAUCAUUCUUUAUCCUCGUCCUCAUCUUCAUCAUCCUCAUCCUUGUCAUCCUCAUCUUCAUCCUUGUCAAUCUCAUCCUUCUCAUCCUUGUGCUCUUCCUCAUCUUCAUCUUCCUCAUCUUCCUCCUUAUCAUCUUCAUCAUCCUCAUCUUCAGCCUCCUCCUCAUCAUCCUUCUCAUCAUCCUUAUUGUCAUGUUCAUCCUCAUCUUCAUCAUCCUCAUCUUCAGCCUCCUCUGCCCCAUCAUCAUCCCCAUUCUCCUCAUCCUCAUCUUCAUCAUCAUCAUCCUUGUCGUCACCUUCAUCAUCAUCUUCAUCAUCAUCAUCCUUCAUCUUCAUCAUCUUCAUCGUUGUCAUCAUCAUCCUCAUCUUCAUCAUCAUCAUCGUCCUUGUCGUCACCUUCAUCAUCAUCCUCAUCUUCAUCAUCCUUCAUCUUCAUCAUCUUCAUCAUUAUCAUCCUCAUCCUCAUCUUCAUCAUCCUCAUCUUCAUCAUCCUUGUCAAUCUCAUCCUUCUCAUCCUUGUUCUCUUCCUCAUCUUCAUCAUCCUCCCCAUCCUCCCCAUCCUCCUCAUCCUCAUCAUCCUCAUCAUCCUUGUCAUUCCCAUCUUCAUCUUCAUCCCACUCAUCCUCAUCUUCCUCAUUGUCCUCAUCUUCCUCCUCCUCUUUUCCUUUCCCUGUCCCAUCCCUGUCCCAGGUGUGACUGUCCCUGUCCCCAGGUGUGACUGUCCCAGGUGUGACUGUUCCUGUGUCCAGGUGUGUCCCAGGUGUGACUGUUCCUGUCCCAGGUGUGGCUGUCCCAGGUGUGACUGUCCCAGGUGUGACUGUCCCAGGUGUGACUGUCCCAGGUGUGACUGUCCCAGGUGUCCCAGGUGUGACUGUCCCAGGUGUGACUGUUCCUGUCCCAGGUGUGGCUGUCCCAGGUGUGACUGUUCCUGUCCCAGGUGUGUCCCAGGUGUGACUGUUCCCAGUGUGACUGUCCCCAGGUGUGACUGUCCCAGGUGUGACUGUCCCAGGUGUGUCCCAGGUGUGGCUGUUCCAGGUGUGACUGUCCCAGGUGUGACUGUCCCAGGUGUGACUGUCCCAGGUGUGACUGUCCCAGGUGUGUCCCAGGUGUGUCCCAGGUGUGACUGUCCCAGGUGUGUCCCAGGUGUGGCUGUUCCAGGUGUGACUGUCCCAGGUGUGACUGUCCCAGGUGUGUCCCAGGUGUGGCUGUUCCAGGUGUGACUGUUCCUGUCCCAGGUGUGUCCCAGGUGUGACUGUUCCUGUCCCAGGUGUGACUGCCCAGGUGUGACUGUCCAGGUGUGACUGUCCCAGGUGUGACUGUCCCAGGUGUGUCCCAGGUGUGUCCCAGGUGUGACUGCCCAGGUGUGACUGUCCCCAGGUGUGACUGUUCCCAGUGUGACUGUCCCCGUCCCCAGGUGUGUCCCAGGUGUGUCUCAGGUGUCUCAGGUGUGUCCCAGGUGUGACUGUUGCCGUU
ensembl:lncRNA